AUGCAGACGCAUUGUCUGACUUUGACCCCCCCCCCCCCCCCCCUCUGUUCUCCCUUGCCCCCAGCUGGUCAGGGUGCCGGCCCUGUGGGCACCAUGAGGCGAGGGACCAGCCUGCAGAGCCGGCGCAGUAAGGGGACAGGGGGGAACGGGACAGGGGCCGGAGUAGGAGACCGGGACCCCUCUCUGAGAGGCAGCCCCCAGGCCCCCCAGCGCCGGCCUACCUACGAUGCACAGCAGCAUUCCGUCCGCCCGCGCUCCUCCUCCACCACUGACAACACCACACCAAGUAGCCCUUCCCUUGGUUACCACCCUGGAUACGUGACGCCAGGCGACGUGGUGCUAUCGUCAGGAUACCAGUCCACGGAGGAGACAGAGAGGAGUGCAGAUCAUUUCGGAUAUGACUCUACAUCUGGAUCGACCCAUCUGCUUGAUAUACGUUAUCCUAGCAAGAAAGCCAAACACCCCUCUCAGGAUGUUUGAGAAUGGUAUGUUCAAGUGUAAUUGUUGUCAUGUAGUCAACAGAAGCUGUCUCUUAGAUCGGAUCAAUUUUCUGCACAGGGCUGCUCAGAUUCUGUCAUUUUUAACAUGAUAUGAGACGUGUGAUGAUGAAUUAUCCCCCGGAGGAAGAACUAGUGCUGAAUGUUCUAGAAACUCUGUCCAUCACCAUAAUGUAUCAAGGAGAGCUCCUGGUGUUGUAGGAGCACUGAGAAUGAACGAGAAUGUCUGUCAUUCUGUGGGAAAAGGAAAUGCUUGGCAUGCUAGGGCAAGAUGUGUGUGUGUUGUCCUCCUUUUCAGUAUGUCUGUAUGUUCUCAGAGAGGGGAUGCUAGUCCAUCUGUGGUAAGAGAUGCAUUGAGAUGUGGUGGAUAUCUGUACCAGACACUGCUAUCACCACACACACACACACACACACACACACACACACACACACACACACACACACACAAAGGACAGAGCUCUGUAACAAAGGAAGGCUGACAAAGAGGAAGUGCAUACAUUAUUCUCUAGCUUAUCUAGCAUGCUAUGUUCUUUUUAUACCCUCUGGUAAAGUAGUCUCUCUUAUUUUUUAUUUAACCUUUAUUUAACUAGGCAAGUCAGUUAAUAACAAAUUAUUAUUUACAAUUUCCUGGCCUACACCGGCCAAACCCGGACAAUGCUGGGCCAAUUGUGCACCGCCCUAUGGGACUCCCAAUCACGGCCGGUUGUGAUACAGCCUUGAUUCAAACCUGGAUGUCUGUAGUGACGCCUCUAGCACUGAGAUGCAGUGCCUUAGACCACUGCGCCAGGUGAAAACUGUGCCCAUUUGUGUUCACGUAACUUUAUCCAACAGAUGCCUUUGGUUGGGGCACCAUGCCAGAUUAUUUUGUCAUUCAACAACACUACUUAUUGUUGCCAAGACAAGACAGACACUUUGACUAAAAUAGAUACAGACUGGCACCGGUAGGAGAAUAUUGAUUUUCAGCCUUGCUCUUCUCUUGGUCAGAUGACAGUGGUUUAGUAUGAAGAUAUGCAGAAACUGCUUCUCCAAUAGAAAUCUCUGGUCACGCUUGUAGGCGAUGUCAUGGCAAUAGUUGGCUAGCUAAACUCAUGCAGAGAAACACGUCACCAGGUCCAACGGUCGUCUUGCACCUAACUGCACAUGCGCAGACCAUCAAAUCAAAGGAACUCCUUCGAUAUAAAGCAGUUUUUUACGAUUGCUUACACACUAAAAAUGAACUUUUCCCAACAAUUAGCAAAACCUUACACUCAAGGAGCAAAACACAAGGCUAGAUUUGCACAACUGUACGCACAUUGUCAGCUUCACACUAUUUGCAAAACAUUACACACAGUGAUUUGUAAAACACUAAACACACUUGUAUACAUCAGACACAGAAGUAUAUCAUGAUGUCACUUCCUUGCAAUUCCAAAGCACUGACUGUCAAAUUACCACACCUAUGAGCCAAUCUGUUAAACACAGCCAUCAGGUGCACAAACACAUGACUGCUAAAUUGUAGACACACCAGUCAGGUUUAAGCACUAUACAAAUGCAGCAGGUAGGUUCACCUGCCUUCAACCAAAAUGGAAGGAGUCAGAAGAAGAGUGAGGGUGAGAGGAGGAGUACGGAGAAGGAGGUAGAGGUAGAGGAAGAGGCCGAGCCAGAGGUCGAGGAAGACCUGAAGCAGGAGGAGAACGUGUACAAAGAAGAAGAGGACCAAACUUAUCAAAUGACACUCGUGCAACACUAGUGGACCAUGUUGUGAACCACGGAUUGACGCUGAGGGAGGAUGGACUGAGAGUUCAGCCAAAUCUUAGCAUAAGGACUUUUCGACAGGAAAACAGGUAAAGUGUUUUAGGUUAGUCAUCAGCCGCUUACUGUAUGCACCAUAUCAGCACUUGUGAUAUCCCUUCCUGUGACAUUGUACAGUAAGUUACAUGUAUUAUUCUCUACAUAGGAUUGAGGGUCGGGAACGACAAGGAAGAAGGGGGACCAUAUUCACGCAAGAACAAGAGAGAGAUAAUAAACAUGGUUUUGGCCAAUAAUGCUAUCAGGCUCAGAGAACUACAAGACAACAUUAUCGGUGACCAUGCCAUUUUCAAUAAUGUCCAUCAGGUCUCUCAGUCAACACUGGCACGCAUCCUGAAAAGGCAUCAGGUUCAAAUGAAACAACUUUAUCGAGUGCCUUUUGAGCGGAGUUCAGAGAGGGUCAAACGGCUGUGGCAUGAGUAUGUGGAGGUUUGUAUUGUUCACUUUAGCACUAUGAUGUUGCAUA
rnacentral:lncRNA from 1 species